rnacentral:rRNA from 1 species
GUGUCAGCAGCCGCGGUAAAACGUAGGAGGCGAGCGUUAUCCGGAUUCACUGGGCGUAAAGCGCGUGUAGGUGGUUCGGCAAGUCGGUUGUGAAAGCCCCUGGCUCAACUGGGGGAGGUCAGCCGAAACUGCGGGACUGGAGGACCAGAGAGGAAGGUGGAAUUCCCGGUGUAGCGGUGGAAUGCGUAGAGAUCGGGAGGAACACCAGUGGCGAAAGCGGCCUUCUGGCUGGUCACUGACACUGAGACGCGAAAGCGUGGGUAGCAAACGGGAUUAGAAACCCCAGUAGUCC